rnacentral:rRNA from 1 species
CCUACGGGAGGCUGCAGUGGGGAAUAUUGGACAAUGGGGGGAACCCUGAUCCAGCGACGCCGCGUGAGUGAAGAAGUAUUUCGGUAUGUAAAGCUCUAUCAGCAGGGAAGAAAGAAAUGACGGUACCUGACUAAGAAGCCCCGGCUAACUACGUGCCAGCAGCCGCGGUAAUACGUAGGGGGCAAGCGUUAUCCGGAUUUACUGGGUGUAAAGGGAGCGUAGACGGCGAUGCAAGUCUGAAGUGAAAGGCGGGGGCCCAACCUCCGGACUGCUUUGGAAACUGUAUGGCUGGAGUGCAGGAGAGGUAAGUGGAAUUCCUAGUGUAGCGGUGAAAUGCGUAGAUAUUAGGAGGAACAUCGGUGGCGAAAGCGCUUUACUGGACCAUUAUUGACGCUGAGGAACGAAAGCCAGGGGAGCAAAUGGGAUUAGAUACCCCAGUAGUC